rnacentral:snRNA from 1 species
GUGUCACUUUGGCAGCACGUAUACUAAAAUUGGAACCAUAUAGAGAAAAUUAACAUGGCCCCUGGGCAAGGAUAACAUGCAAAUCCAUGAAGCGUUCCAUAUUUUU